GACGAACGCUGGCGGCGUGCCUAAUACAUGCAAGUAGAACGCUGAAGAGAGGAGCUUGCUCUUCUUGGAUGAGUUGCGAGCGGGUGAGUAACGCGUAGGUAACCUGCCUUGUAGCGGGGGAUAACUAUUGGAAACGAUAGCUAAUACCGCAUAACAAUGGAUGACACAUGUCAUUUAUUUGAAAGGGGCAAUUGCUCCACUACAAGAUGGACCUGCGUUGUAUUAGCUAGUAGGUGAGGUAACGGCUCACCUAGGCGACGAUACAUAGCCGACCUGAGAGGGUGAUCGGCCACACUGGGACUGAGACACGGCCCAGACUCCUACGGGAGGCAGCAGUAGGGAAUCUUCGGCAAUGGGGGCAACCCUGACCGAGCAACGCCGCGUGAGUGAAGAAGGUUUUCGGAUCGUAAAGCUCUGUUGUAAGUCAAGAACGAGUGUGAGAGUGGAAAGUUCACACUGUGACGGUAGCUUACCAGAAAGGGACGGCUAACUACGUGCCAGCAGCCGCGGUAAUACGUAGGUCCCGAGCGUUGUCCGGAUUUAUUGGGCGUAAAGCGAGCGCAGGCGGUUUGAUAAGUCUGAAGUUAAAGGCUGUGGCUCAACCAUAGUUCGCUUUGGAAACUGUCAAACUUGAGUGCAGAAGGGGAGAGUGGAAUUCCAUGUGUAGCGGUGAAAUGCGUAGAUAUAUGGAGGAACACCGGUGGCGAAAGCGGCUCUCUGGUCUGUAACUGACGCUGAGGCCCGAAAGCGUGGGGAGCGAACAGGAUUAGAUACCCUGGUAGUCCACGCCGUAAACGAUGAGUGCUAGGUGUUGGAUCCUUUCCGGGAUUCAGUGCCGCAGCUAACGCAUUAAGCACUCCGCCUGGGGAGUACGACCGCAAGGUUGAAACUCAAAGGAAUUGACGGGGGCCCGCACAAGCGGUGGAGCAUGUGGUUUAAUUCGAAGCAACGCGAAGAACCUUACCAGGUCUUGACAUCCCGAUGCUAUUUCUAGAGAUAGAAAGUUACUUCGGUACAUCGGUGACAGGUGGUGCAUGGUUGUCGUCAGCUCGUGUCGUGAGAUGUUGGGUUAAGUCCCGCAACGAGCGCAACCCCUAUUGUUAGUUGCCAUCAUUCAGUUGGGCACUCUAGCGAGACUGCCGGUAAUAAACCGGAGGAAGGUGGGGAUGACGUCAAACCAUCAUGCCCCUUAUGACCUGGGCUACACACGUGCUACAAUGGUUGGUACAACGAGUUGCGAGUCGGUGACGGCAAGCUAAUCUCUUAAAGCCAAUCUCAGUUCGGAUUGUAGGCUGCAACUCGCCUACAUGAAGUCGGAAUCGCUAGUAAUCGCGGAUCAGCACGCCGCGGUGAAUACGUUCCCGGGCCU
rnacentral:rRNA from 1 species